AUGUGAUGAUGCAGAAAGAAGAUUCAUGCGUCGUCUGAGGUUUUUUCCAGACACACAAUACAGAGAUCUCUCGUCUCAGGGGGACAUGAGGG